AUUGAACGCUGGCGGCAGGCCUAACACAUGCAAGUCGAAUGGUAACAGGAAACAGCUUGCUGUUUCGCUGACGAGUGGCGGACGGGUGAGUAAUGUCUGGGAAACUGCCUGAUGGAGGGGGAGAACUACUGGAAACGGUAGCUAAUACCGCAUAACGUCGCAAGAACAAAGAGGGGGACCUUCGGGCCUCUUGCCAUCAGAUAUGCCCAGAUGGGAUUAGCUAGUAGGUGGGGUAACGGCUCACCUAGCCGACGAUCCCUAGCUGGUCUGAGAGGAUGACCAGCCACACUGGAACUGAGACACGGUCCAGACUCCUACGGGAGGCAGGAGUGGGGAAUAUUGCACAAUGGGCGCAAGCCUGAUGCAGCCAUGCCGCGUGUAUGAAGAAGGCCUUCGGGUUGUAAAGUACUUUGAGCGGGGAGGAAGGGAGUAAAGUUAAGACCUUUGCUCAUUGACGUUACCCGCAGAAGAAGCACCGGCUAACUCCGG
rnacentral:rRNA from 1 species